rnacentral:misc_RNA from 1 species
AAGCCCUCCCGAGAGCCCCGGUCAAGAAGCAUCCGGGCAUCUACUACCGCCAGAAUGCGAAGGGAGAGCGGCGUUACGAGGUCGUCUACCGCGACUCGGAGGGUCGGCAGCGCUGGAAGACAGCCGGAGCCAAGCUUUCAGACGCGACGACUCUCCGCGAAGACCUGAGCGGUAAGAAGCGCAGGGGCGAAGUUCUCGCCUCGAACACGAAAAAGACCUUUGGGGACGUAGCCCGCGAGUGGAUGAUCUCCAAGGCAAACCUGCGUGGGCGCUCGCGGGACGAUUACAGAAUCAAGCUCGCCCGCGUGGAGCC